rnacentral:rRNA from 1 species
AUCUACGGCCAUGCCACCCUGAAUGUGCUCAGUCUCGUCUGAUCUUGGAAGCUAAGCAGGGUCGGGCUGGGGUAGGAGACCACCUAGGAAGACCAGGUGCUGUAAGUA